rnacentral:rRNA from 1 species
UUAAGCGACUAAGCGUACACGGUGGAUGCCCUGGCAGUCAGAGGCGAUGAAGGACGUGCUAAUCUGCGAAAAGCGUCGGUAAGGUGAUAUGAACCGUUAUAACCGGCGAUGUCCGAAUGGGGAAACCCAGUGCAAUUCGUUGCACUAUCGUUAACUGAAUACAUAGGUUAACGAGGCGAACCGGGGGAACUGAAACAUCUAAGUACCCCGAGGAAAAGAAAUCAACCGAGAUUCCCCCAGUAGCGGCGAGCGAACGGGGAGCAGCCCAGAGUCUGAAUCAGCUUGUGUGUUAGUGGAACGGUCUGGAAAGUCCGACGGUACAGGGUGAUAGUCCCGUACACCAAAAUGCACAGGUUGUGAACUCGAAGAGUAGGGCGGGACACGUGGUAUCCUGUCUGAAUAUGGGGGGACCAUCCUCCAAGGCUAAAUACUCCUGACUGACCGAUAGUGAACCAGUACCGUGAGGGAAAGGCGAAAAGAACCCCGGCGAGGGGAGUGAAAAAGAACCUGAAACCGUGUACGUACAAGCAGUGGGAGCACCUUCGGGUGUGACUGCGUACCUUUUGUAUAAUGGGUCAGCGACUUAUAUUCUGUAGCAAGGUUAACCGUAUAGGGGAGCCGCAGGGAAACCGAGUCUUAACUGGGCGUUAAGUUGCAGGGUAUAGACCCGAAACCCGGUGAUCUAGCCAUGGGCAGGUUGAAGGUUGGGUAACACUAACUGGAGGACCGAACCGACUAAUGUUGAAAAAUUAGCGGAUGACUUGUGGCUGGGGGUGAAAGGCCAAUCAAACCGGGAGAUAGCUGGUUCUCCCCGAAAGCUAUUUAGGUAGCGCCUCGUGAACUCAUCUUCGGGGGUAGAGCACUGUUUCGGCUAGGGGGUCAUCCCGACUUACCAACCCGAUGCAAACUACGAAUACCGAAGAAUGUUAUCACGGGAGACACACGGCGGGUGCUAACGUCCGUCGUGAAGAGGGAAACAACCCAGACCGCCAGCUAAGGUCCCAAAGUCAUGGUUAAGUGGGAAACGAUGUGGGAAGGCACAGACAGCCAGGAUGUUGGCUUAGAAGCAGCCAUCAUUUAAAGAAAGCGUAAUAGCUCACUGGUCGAGUCGGCCUGCGCGGAAGAUGUAACGGGGCUAAACCAUGCACCGAAGCUGCGGCAGCGACACUAUGUGUUGUUGGGUAGGGGAGCGUUCUGUAAGCCUGCGAAGGUGGCCUGUGAGGGUUGCUGGAGGUAUCAGAAGUGCGAAUGCUGACAUAAGUAACGAUAAAGCGGGUGAAAAGCCCGCUCGCCGGAAGACCAAGGGUUCCUGUCCAACGUUAAUCGGGGCAGGGUGAGUCGACCCCUAAGGCGAGGCCGAAAGGCGUAGUCGAUGGGAAACAGGUUAAUAUUCCUGUACUUGGUGUUACUGCGAAGGGGGGACGGAGAAGGCUAUGUUAGCCGGGCGACGGUUGUCCCGGUUUAAGCAUGUAGGCUGGUUAUCCAGGCAAAUCCGGAUAAUCAAGGCUGAGGUGUGAUGACGAGGCACUACGGUGCUGAAGUAACAAAUGCCCUGCUUCCAGGAAAAGCCUCUAAGCAUCAGGUAACAUCAAAUCGUACCCCAAACCGACACAGGUGGUCAGGUAGAGAAUACCAAGGCGCUUGAGAGAACUCGGGUGAAGGAACUAGGCAAAAUGGUGCCGUAACUUCGGGAGAAGGCACGCUGGUGUGUAGGUGAAGUCCCUGCGGAUGGAGCUGAGACCAGUCGAAGAUACCAGCUGGCUGCAACUGUUUAUUAAAAACACAGCACUGUGCAAACACGAAAGUGGACGUAUACGGUGUGACGCCUGCCCGGUGCCGGAAGGUUAAUUGAUGGGGUUAUCCGUAAGGAGAAGCUCUUGAUCGAAGCCCCGGUAAACGGCGGCCGUAACUAUAACGGUCCUAAGGUAGCGAAAUUCCUUGUCGGGUAAGUUCCGACCUGCACGAAUGGCGUAAUGAUGGCCAGGCUGUCUCCACCCGAGACUCAGUGAAAUUGAACUCGCUGUGAAGAUGCAGUGUACCCGCGGCAAGACGGAAAGACCCCGUGAACCUUUACUAUAGCUUGACACUGAACAUUGAGCCUUGAUGUGUAGGAUAGGUGGGAGGCUUUGAAGCGUGGACGCCAGUCUGCGUGGAGCCAACCUUGAAAUACCACCCUUUAAUGUUUGAUGUUCUAACGUUGGCCCCUGACCGGGGUUGCGGACAGUGUCUGGUGGGUAGUUUGACUGGGGCGGUCUCCUCCCAAAGCGUAACGGAGGAGCACGAAGGUUAGCUAAUCCUGGUCGGACAUCAGGAGGUUAGUGCAAUGGCAUAAGCUAGCUUGACUGCGAGCGUGACGGCGCGAGCAGGUGCGAAAGCAGGUCAUAGUGAUCCGGUGGUUCUGAAUGGAAGGGCCAUCGCUCAACGGAUAAAAGGUACUCCGGGGAUAACAGGCUGAUACCGCCCAAGAGUUCAUAUCGACGGCGGUGUUUGGCACCUCGAUGUCGGCUCAUCACAUCCUGGGGCUGAAGUAGGUCCCAAGGGUAUGGCUGUUCGCCAUUUAAAGUGGUACGCGAGCUGGGUUUAGAACGUCGUGAGACAGUUCGGUCCCUAUCUGCCGUGGGCGCUGGAGAAUUGAGGGGGGCUGCUCCUAGUACGAGAGGACCGGAGUGGACGCAUCACUGGUGUUCGGGUUGUCAUGCCAAUGGCACUGCCCGGUAGCUAAAUGCGGAAGAGAUAAGUGCUGAAAGCAUCUAAGCACGAAACUUGCCCCGAGAUGAGUUCUCCCUGAGACUUUAAGUCUCCUGAAGGAACGUUAAAGACGAUGACGUUGAUAGGCCGGGUGUGUAAGCGCAGCGAUGCGUUGAGCUAACCGGUACUAAUGAACCGUGAGGCUUAACCUU